ACCUGGCUGGCUCAGUGGGUAGAGCGCUGGACUCUUGAUCUUGAGGUCGUGGGUUUGAGCCUGGGGUAGUGGGUUCAAGCCCCACGUUGAGUG
rnacentral:tRNA from 1 species